GAAACCUACCCUGAGGUUAAUCGUCGGCCGCAGAGUUGACUUCGAGGGAUGAGGAAAUGCGAUGCGCAGGCCUGGCUUCCGGAGCAGUGGGAGACUCUCUGCGUGGCAGGCUGCUGGGACUUGGAGGAUGCCCACAUGAAACCAUUAUCAAAGACAAAAUUUUGAGUUGAGAUCAUAUUCAAGCAAUGAAAUGGUAUUUUGUCCCUUUCUAAAGAGGAACGAGGCUCCUUUGAUGUGAAAGAGACUGGUUUUGGACUUAAGAAUUAAUUAAGGGACAAAAUUCGAAGGAGCCUGGAGCGCUGGUGCCGGCCCAGUGUCAUCUCAGCCAUCGUGAGACUCCAGGGGAGUUCUGGGGUCCUGUCACCCUGAAGGACUCUGGGAUGGGGCUGCCGUGCUCCAGGCUGCGUGUGAGCAGGACGUGAGGACCAGGUGGAAGGAUGAGGAGGGAGCGGGAGCAGUUACAGCCCCGGACAAAGAUCCGAGAGACACUUACCUGCCGGAUUGGCGUGCGCAGAAACUGAAGAGUCACAUUUAAUCAGAUUUUCUUCCUUUGACGUGAGACUACAGGUGGACUCGAGGGAGUUUUCCAGUGUGUGGAACAUGGGAAGUGAUCUGAUAUUUGAGAUCAACAGAACAGUGAGAUCAAGUACUGUGUUUUGUCCUGGAGCAAAACAUGAUGCCAGCCUGAUGUUCAGUGUCUCACAUGUUAAAAGUUCUGUGGCCAUGUUAGAACCUUUUGUGGGUCACUCUGCAACCAUGUGACACGGAACAUGAGCUCUCUUUCCCCAAGGCGGGGCACCUGCUUUUGUCCCUAGAGAGCCAGAGGUCCCUCACUAUCUACCCAAGUGGUGCAGCAUUCUGGUGUCUGCAGCAGCAAAUAUUUAUGAAGCACUUAAUGUAUGCAAGAUCAGCAGAGUGGUCAUGGAAUUUCCUUUCUUACCUUUCCCAUGAUCAGUACAGCUGUCAUGGAGACAGGCAGCUGUUGGUGGCCACACCACCCUGAAGGCGCCAAUCGCAUCUGAUCUCAGAAGCUAAGCAGGGUCGGGCCUGAUGAGAACUUCGAUGGAAGAUAGAGGUGGAUGAGAAUUGAGAUAAGCAAAGCAGACUGAUGAAAAGAAGGAAAUGAAGAUUAAACACAGGCUGCCAUACGCACUGCUUCUGGCCAUUGUUGCUGAUGAAUUUCAAAACCAAAGCCUAUUCCUACCUGUAGGACAUUUCCAAGUCUGGAAAGCACUCCUCUAAGAAAUUCAUGGCACUGGAGAAGCCUGCUCUUUGCCAGAAGUUAGUGCAAAAUGGGAAGAAAUACAAACUGAUGAGUGAGCCAGAAGCCAAAGUUACCCCAGAGGAGAGAGAAGCCCCCAGCUCCUGGAACUGAAGUGCCAGCUCCGGUUCCACAGGCCCCCGCAGUGCGGAUCCCUGGAGCUCGGUGGGGUGGUGCAGCGAGUGUGAGACCACUUCAGAUGUAGGUUAUAUGUGUACAGAUGAAUUUGGUAACCAUGAAUAUUGACACAGAACCUGUGCUGUGUGCCAGUCAUACCGUGAUGCCUGUCUUUCCAAGGUGUGUGGACCUGUGUGGCCAUAUAUAAACCAUUUCAAAAGGCAGCGCAGUGGUAACUGGACACGGAAUGGGCUUCAGCACACUCUUCUGUCCUCCCGUCUGCGGAAUCCUGAUUCCCGCUGGUCUCCCCCACGGACGGUCAUCCACCACCCAGGCUGCUGGGUCAGCCUUCCUGGAGGCACACCUGGCUCAGAAAGAUUAAGGACUUCUAACCUUUCUGCAGAUGACACCAUAGUAUCUAAAUCAAUAAAUCAAUAAAUAUUUACU